rnacentral:rRNA from 1 species
UACGUAGGGGGCAAGCGUUGUCCGGAUUUAUUGGGCGUAAAGAGCGUGUAGGCGGCCAUGUAGGUCCGUUGUGAAAACUCGAGGCUCAACCUCGAGACGCCGAUGGAAACCAUAUGGCUAGAGUCCGGAAGAGGAGAGUGGAAUUCCUGGUGUAGCGGUGAAAUGCGCAGAUAUCAGGAAGAACACCCGUGGCUAAGGCGGCUCUCUAGUACGGUACUGACGCUGAGACGCGAAAGCGUGGGGAGCAAACAGGG